AGAACGAACGCUGGCGGCAGGCCUCAAACAUGCAAGUCUAGGGGGGCGUAGCAAUACGUCACCGGCGGACGGGUGCGUAACACGUGGGAAUGUACUUAUUGGUUCGGAACAACUCAGGGAAACUUGAGCUAAUACCGAAUGUGCCCGUAAGGGGAAAGAUUUAUCGCCAAUAAAUCAGCCCGCGUUCGAUUAGCUAGUUGGUGGGGUAAAGGCUCACCAAGGCGACGAUCGGUAGCUGUUCUGAGAGGAAGAUCAGCCACACUGGGACUGAGACACGGCCCAGACUCCUACGGGAGGCAGCAGUUGGGAAUCUUGGACAAUGGGGGAAACCCUGAUCCAGCCAUGCCGCGUGAGUGAUGAAGGCCUUAGGGUUGUAAAACUCUUUCGGCGGGGACGAUAAUGACGGUACCGCAGAAGAAGCUCCGGCUAACUUCGCGCCAGCAGCCGC
rnacentral:rRNA from 1 species